GAAAAUAUUAAGAUCUACUUAGGUAAUUCAAAUGUUAGAAAUAAAAUUAUUGUAGCAUAAAUAAAUUAAAAUGCUUAAGUAGUGGUGAAACGCCUAUCAAUUUUAUUGAUAACUGGAUUGAAAGAAAAUAUAUUAAGUAUAUAUGACAAUUUUAAAACGAUAAGGUUUUAAAAAAAGUGAAUAAGAUAUUUAAAUUUCCGUUAUUAUUUAGUAAAACUAUUUUAUAUAAUAGGCAAAAUAAAAACUAAACUAUAUAUGCACCAUAAGAUAGCCUUUCAUAUGAUAAAGCAAUAUUAGCACUACCAUAAAUAAUGUAUCAAUUAGUAAAUAUUAUAAAUAUUAAUAAGGAACUCGACAAAUAAUUUGUACGACUGUUUACCAAAAACAUAACCAUAAGCAAAUUUUUAUGGUGACGUCCGCCCAGUGAUAAUUUUAACGGCCGCAGUACUUUGACUGUGCAAAGGUAGCAUAAUAACUUGGCUUUUAAUUGGAGUCUGGAAUGAGAGAAAUAACGUAUAAAAGUUGUCUCAAACUAUAUAAUAUAAAAAUUAUUUAAGAAGUGAAAAUACUUCUACAUAUAAUAAAAGACGAGAAGACCCUUAGAAUUUUUACUAACUAAUUAAGUUUUUGAUUUAUCGUUUUAGUUGGGGCAACUCUAUUUCAUGAUAAAUAAAUAGUAUAGUUAAAAAAUUAUACCGAUUUUAAUAAAUUAAAAUAAAUUACCUAAGGGAUAACAGCAUAAUUUUAAUAAAUAAGAUUGUGACCUCGAUGUUGGACUAGGUACUGUUAAAGCUAAACGUUUUACCAUUAAAGUUCUGUUCGAACUUCCUCACCUACUUGAUCUGAGUUCAGACCGGCG
rnacentral:rRNA from 1 species